rnacentral:rRNA from 1 species
GAUGAACGCUGACAGAAUGCUUAACACAUGCAAGUCGACUCGAGUCUUCGGACUUGGGUGGCGCACGGGUGAGUAACGCGUAAAGAACUUGCCUCUUAGACCGGGACAACAUCUGGAAACGGAUGCUAAUACCGGAUAUUAUGGUUUUUUCGCAUGGAGGAAUCAUGAAAGCUAGAUGCGCUAAGAGAGAGCUGUGCGUCCCAUUAGCUGGUUGGUGAGGUAACGGCCCACCAAGGCAAUGAUGGGUAGCCGGCCUGAGAGGGUGAACGGCCACAAGGGGACUGAGACACGGCCCUUACUCCUACGGGAGGCAGCAGUGGGGAAUAUUGGACAAUGGACCACAAGUCUGAUCCAGCAAUUCUGUGUGCACGAUGACGUUUUUCGGAAUGUAAAGUGCUUUCAGUCGGGAAGAAGUCAGUGACGGUACCGACAGAAGAAGCGACGGCUAAAUACGUGCCAGCAGCCGCGGUAAUACGUAUGUCGCAAGCGUUAUCCGGAUUUAUUGGGCGUAAAGCGCGUCUAGGCGGCAAGGAAAGUCUGAUGUGAAAAUGCGGAGCUCAACUCCGUAUGGCGUUGGAAACUGCCUUACUAGAGUACUGGAGAGGUAGGCGGAACUACAAGUGUAGAGGUGAAAUUCGUAGAUAUUUGUAGGAAUGCCGAUGGGGAAGCCGGCCUACUGGACAGAUACUGACGCUAAAGCGCGAAAGCGUGGGUAGCAAACAGG